UCAACUUGAGAGUUUGAUCCUGGCUCAGAACGAACGCUGGCGGCAGGCUUAACACAUGCAAGUCGAACGCAUCUUAGGAUGAGUGGCAGACGGGUGAGUAACACGUGGGAACGUACCCUUUGGUUCGGAACAACUCCGGGAAACUGGAGCUAAUACCGGAUAAGCCCUAACGGGGAAAGAUUUAUCGCCGAAGGAUCGGCCCGCGUCUGAUUAGCUAGUUGGUGAGGUAAUGGCUCACCAAGGCGACGAUCAGUAGCUGGUCUGAGAGGAUGAUCAGCCACACUGGGACUGAG
rnacentral:rRNA from 1 species